AUUCUGAUCAGGUGACACAUGCAGAGCAGGAUCAGUCAUGUUUGUUGCACACAUACCAGACAGUAAGGGAUUUAUGUAAAUACUUGAUAUAGAACAACUAUGGAUCCUCGUUCUAGUGCCCAGGAUGUGCACCGAUGUGACCUUUGUGAGACCGCCAUAGUACACAGCUACUGUGACAUUUGCCAUGUCAACCUAUGCGUACCUUGUAUAGGCAAACACAUCUCAGAUGGAUAUGAAAAACAUAAAAUUGUCCCAUUCCAGGAAAGAAGAUCCACUCUUAUUUAUCCAAAAUGUAGGACACAUCCACAUAAAAUCUGUGAAUCCCAAUGCAUGGAUUGCAACAAUAUCCUUGUUUGUUCCUCCUGCAUGGCCUCUGAACAACAUGGAAGACAUAAAUUUAAAGAAAUAACAGAAGUAUACAAGACUAAGAAAGAAGUUAUCAAAAUGGAUACAGAAGAGUUAGUUAAUAAUAUUUCCCCUACAUAUGAAAAAAUAACACUUGACUUAGAAAAUCAGCUUGCCAACCUGGAUGGAGGAUAUGAGAAACUUACAACAACAAUUUCAAAACAAGGAGAGCAAUGGCACAGAGAAAUUGACAUCACCAUCAACAAAAUGAAAACUGAAAUCAGCGAGAUAAAAGUAAAACACAGAGAUAUUCUACAGAAACAUUUGGAUGAAAUCAAACAGAUACAGUCCCUCAUAAAACAAACAUUACAGGCCUUAAAAGAAAUUGAGAAAUCUACUGAAGUAUCUUCUACCAUUGAAUACAGCUCUAAGAUCACAGAAUUCAGCAAAUUUCCACCGAAAGUUCAGGUAUUACUGCCAACAUUCACUCCAAACCCAAUAGACAGUGAGAAGCUGUAUAGGAUGUUUGGACAAAUCACCCCAUUAUCUACUGAUACAGGAGAAAAUAUCGUGUCACUAAACCAACCAAACAUUUCAGUCAGAGAAUUACUGGAUGAACCAGAGCUUGUUACCACAAUACAGACUGGGUAUGAAUAUCUACGCAGUGUUACCUGUCUGAAUGAAGACAGGAUCUGGAUGAGUGGACAGACCAAUGAUGUCAAAUGCUUUAACAUUAAAGGUUCACUCCUCCAGACAAUUAAGACAAAAUCAUGGAAUUGGCGCAAUGAUAUAGCAGUAGAUAGUGAUGGAGAUCUACUGUACUCUGAUUGCGAAACUAAGACAGUGAACAAGGUAAAGAAUGGACAGAUUGAGGAGUUAAUAAGAUUAAAGGGAUGGAGGCCUGUCAACAUGUGUAUCACCUCUGCUGGUGAUCUCUUGGUUACCAUGUAUAGUGUUGAUUUCUCUCAAUCCAAAGUUAAUCGCUACUCAGGGUCUACAGAAAAACAAACAGUUGAAAUUGAUGAUGAAGGUAAACCUUUGUACUCACGCAAUAGUACAAUUAAAUAUAUUACUGAGAACAGAAACCGUGACAUCUGUGUAGCUGACCAUGGGGCUGGUGCAGUAGUGGUGGUUAAUCGGGACGGGAAACUCAGAUGGAGAUACACCGGUCAUCCCUCAGUUACCAAGAACAAACCAUUUAAACCCUGUGGUAUCACAACAGACAGUCAGAGUCGUAUCCUUACAGCAGACAGUGACAACCAUUGUAUCCACAUUCUGGAUCAGAAUGGACAGUUUCUCCGUUACAUUGAUAAAUGUGAUCUGAAGUAUCCUUUUAGUUUAUGUGUGGACAAUAAUGACAAUCUGUAUGUGUGUGAGUACUACAAAGGCAAUGUAAAGAAAAUCAAAUAUUAAAAGAAGACUUUAAUUUGUGAAAAUGUGCUUGUAAAUCAAACAAAUGACUUUUUUUCUGUGUAAGAAAUUGAGUUUUAUUUAUUAUAAAAGACUAAUUA
rnacentral:sRNA from 1 species